rnacentral:lncRNA from 1 species
GAUGUGGAAUUAAAAACACAAACUGGUGUGCUUCAACAAAGCUGGAUUAUUCAGUGCAAACAGUAUAUCCAUUGUCAGUUGAGUGACAAGAUAACCAAGUCUCCAAGGCUGAGCAGCCCGGAACGACAGCUAUUCCACGGCAAGUUACUGUGCAUCAGUUUUCCUAUGUGUCCAGAGAAAGAACAGCUUGGCCUUGACACCAACAGAUCUGCACACACACACAUACCUAAAGGAUGCUGGCUGACCUACACCUCACUUCAGGUACAAUCGACAGACUACAGCUAGGCCAAUUCAUAAACUCACCAGCAGCCCAGGAGAUGGCCUGACAUGAAAGGCUCUGCACAAGCAGGAAGAAAAUGAGCCAAUGACUCCAUUUCAUUCUGUUUGUAUCCCACGUUAUUUUCACAGAGCGGUAAAAGUUUCUGCUGUUCUGCACACACAUACUGCUCACUUUCUUUGCUGCCUGAUCUGAUGGUUUUAAAAGGGGCUUUUCCCCCUCUGCUUGGCAUUUCUUUCUCCUGCUGCCAUCUGAGAAGGACGUUUGCUUCCCCUUCCACUAUAAUUGUAAGUGUCCUGAGUCUCCCCCAGCCAUGCAGAACUGCAGAGUAAAUUAAAACUCUCUUCUUUAUAAAUUAUCCAGUCUCGGGUAUUUCUUCAUAGCAACAUGAGAAUGGACUGACACGAAUACUGAAAAUAAAAUUAACCCAAAGGAAAAAAGAACAUAUGGAAAGAGUAGCAAAGAACCCAUCAGAAACUGGAAAACAAACAGUAAAAUAGUAGACUUAAUGCUAACCAUAUUGUUCAUUAAAUGCAAAUGAACUAAACACUGUAUUUUUUAAAAAGAAAUUUUCAUAUUGGAUAAAAAUUCAAGAACUUAUAAAAUGCAAUCUACAAGAAAUUCACUUUAGAUAUGAGGCAGAUAUAGAAUAAAAAUAAAAUUAAAAUAGACUUACAAUAUAAAAACUAAUACAAAAAUAUGAAAUGCUAUUAUUAAUAUCAGAUGAAGUAGACUUGGGAUAAAAUACGUUAUUAGCAAUAAAAAAAGAUAUUUCAUAAUGACAAAAAGUAAAUUUACCAGAACAUAUAACAACCAUAAAUAUGUACAAACCUAAUAAUACAAUUUCAAGAUGUAUGCAGCAAAAACUACCAAAACUUAGAAAAGAAACAGACAGAUGUCAACACUGCUCUUUUGAAAAUUGAUAGAAGUAGCCUUUAAGUCAGUAAGGGUAAUGCAUCUUCAUAAUGCUAUGAAAUCUUGACCUAGUUGACAGCACAUUACACAUUUGUUUUCAUUUGUAUGUGGUGAAUUCACCAAGAUGGGCCAUGUAACUCUAUUUACUGCUAUUUAAAUCUCAAUAAUUUUAGAACUAUUGGUGUCGUGAAGUUAAUUUUCUGAUUGGAAUAAAAAAUUAAUAACAACUUAUUUUAAAUUUGCUAAAUAUUUGGAAAUUAAGCAACACAUUUCUAAAUAACCCAUGAGUCAGAGAAAAACAUAUAAGUAAAGCUUGCAAAUAGUUUAUACUUGACGACAAACUCACAACACACAAGAAUUUGUGGAAUACAGCAGAGCAGUACUUAAAGUGAUAUGUAUAUUUUUAAUGCUUAUAUAAUAAAAGAAGACAAGUGUCAAUUAUCUAAGCUACCACCUUUAAAAAACUAGAAAACUAGAAAAAAGGAACAAAUUAAACCCAAGUAAGAAGAAAUGAAAUAAUAUAAAUGGAAGAAAAAUGUGAUGACAUAGAAAACUAAAACAACAGAGAAAAAUCAGUGAAACCAAAGAAUGGUUCUUUUAAAAGAUUAAUAAAACUGGCAAAUGCUUAGUCAGACUGAUUAAGAAAAAACGAGAGAAGAAAGAAAUUGUCAAAUCAGGAAUAAAGAAU